AGGUGACCAGGUGUAACCUCCUGUAAGAUAGAGGUGACCAGGUGUAACCUCCUGUAAGAUAGAGGUGACCAGGUGUAACCUCCUGUAAGAUAGAGGUGACCA